rnacentral:tRNA from 1 species
GCCGUUUUAGCUCAGUUGGUAGAGCAUUUCCAUGGUAAGGAAAAGGUCUCGGGUUCAAAUCCCGAAAACGGCU